rnacentral:rRNA from 1 species
UACGUAGGGUGCUAGCGUUGUUCGGAAUCAUUGGGCGUAAAGCGCGUGUAGGUGGUUUGGUAAGUCAGGUGUGAAAUCCCUGGGCUCAACCGAGGAAGUGCACUUGAAACUACCAAGCUAGAGGACAGUAGAGGAAGGUGGAAUUCCUAGUGUAGAGGUGAAAUUCGUAGAUAUUAGGAGGAAUACCUGUGGCGAAGGCGGCCUUCUGGGGCUGUUGCUGACACUGAGGCGCGACAGCGUGGGGAGCAAACAGG